UACGUAGGUGACAAGCGUUGUCCGGAUUUAUUGGGCGUAAAGAGCGUGUAGGCGGCCGCACAGGUCCGUUGUGAAAACUGGAGGCUUAACCUCCAGACGUCGAUGGAAACCGUGCGGCUAGAGUCCGGAAGAGGAGAAUGGAAUUCCUGGUGUAGCGGUGAAAUGCGCAGAUAUCAGGAAGAACACCCGUGGCUAAGGCGGUUCUCUAGUACGGUACUGACGCUGAGACGCGAAAGCGUGGGGAGCGAACAGG
rnacentral:rRNA from 1 species